rnacentral:rRNA from 1 species
AUUGAACGCUGGCGGAAUGCUUUACACAUGCAAGUCGAGCGGCAGCGCGGUCUUCGGACUGGCGGCGAGCGGCGAACGGGUGAGUAAUACAUCGGAACAUGCCCAGUCGUGGGGGAUAACACUUCGAAAGAAGUGCUAAUACCGCAUACAUCCUGAGGGAGAAAGCGGGGGAUCGCAAGACCUCGCGCGAUUGGAGUGGCCGAUGUCAGAUUAGCUAGUUGGUGGGGUAAAGGCCUACCAAGGCAACGAUCUGUAGCUGGUCUGAGAGGAUGAUCAGCCACACUGGGACUGAGACACGGCCCAGACUCCUACGGGAGGCAGCAGUGGGGAAUUUGGACAAUGGGGCAACCCUGAUCCAGCCAUUCCGCGUGAGUGAAGAAGGCCUCGGGUUGUAAAGCUCUUCCGGCAGGAACGAAACGGCGAGCUCUAACAUAGCUCGCUAAUGACGGUACCUGAAGAAGAAGCACCGGCUAACUACGUGCCAGCAGCCGCGGUAAUACGUAGGGUGCGAGCGUUAAUCGGAAUUACUGGGCGUAAAGCGUGCGCAGGCGGUUGUGUAA